AAGACAUGAGAGAAGUGCAUAGCAACAAUGGGUACAAAAGCCAAUCCCGUCAAGACAAUACAAAAGCCCAAAAGUAAACCAUCCAAGGGAGGCCUCCCAUUCCACCAUUGGAGAGCUUCAAAAAUAGUUUCGCGGCAAAACCAAACUGAAAGAGCAACCACAACAGCAUGUACACAACCUUGCCAUGGUUUCAUCUUUGAUGCUGUUCGUGACUUAUCCUUGUAAAGAAGUAACGGGGGAGAAACAGCCAGUAAUAGAACAGCUGAAACCCAUACAACAGAUUUUGAUGAAAUAAACAGCAUGGCCAACUUCGAAGAAUAUAGGCAUGUCAAAAUCCAAACUGUCUUAGUUCCAAUCCGAUGAUCCACAGAUAGUCUUCUCACCAA
rnacentral:misc_RNA from 1 species